AAUAUUUCACAAUGGAGGAAACUCUGAUGCAGCGACGCCGCGUGAGUGAAGAAGGUCUUCGGAUCGUAAAACUCUUUCCUUGGUGAAGAAAAUUACGGUAGCCAAGGAGGAAGCCCCGGCUAACUACGUGCCAGCAGCCGCGGUAAUACGUAGGGGGCUAGCGUUGUCCGGAUUUACUGGGCGUAAAGGGUGAGUAGGCGGUUAUGUAUGUCAGAUGUAAAAGGCGUAGGAUUAACUUACGUUAGCAUUUGAAACUGCAUAACUUGAGUGCGGGAGAGAUAAGUGGAAAUCCUAGUGUAGCGGUGAAAUGCGUAGAUAUUAGGAGGAACACCAGUGGCGAAGGCGACUUACUGGACCGUAACUGACGCUGAGUCACGAAAGCGUGGGUAGCAAACAGG
rnacentral:rRNA from 1 species